UACGUAGGUGGCAAGCGUUGUCCGGAUUUACUGGGCGUAAAGGGCGCGUAGGCGGAUACUUAAGUCGGAUGUGAAAUACCUGGGCUUAACUUGGGUGCUGCAUUCCAAACUGGGUGUCUAGAGUGUUGGAGAGGAAAGUGGAAUUCCUAGUGUAGCGGUGAAAUGCGUAGAGAUUAGGAAGAACACCAGUGGCGAAGGCGACUUUCUGGACAAUAACUGACGCUGAGGCUCGAAAGCGUGGGGAGCAAACAGGAUUAGAUACCCUGGUAGUCCACGCCGUAAACGAUGGGUACUAGGUGUAGGGGGUAUCGACUCCCUCUGUGCCGCCGUUAACACAAUAAGUACCCCGCCUGGGGAGUACGGUCGCAAGAUUAAA
rnacentral:rRNA from 1 species